AUUGAACGCUGGCGGCAUGCUUUACACAUGCAAGUCGAACGGCAGCACGGGUGCUUGCACCUGGUGGCGAGUGGCGAACGGGUGAGUAAUGCAUCGGAACGUGCCCAUGAGUGGGGGAUAGCCCGGCGAAAGCCGGAUUAAUACCGCAUACGCCCUUAGGGGGAAAGCGGGGGAUCUUCGGACCUCGCGCUAUUGGAGCGGCCGAUGUCGGAUUAGCUAGUAGGUGAGGUAAAGGCUCACCUAGGCGACGAUCCGUAGCUGGUCUGAGAGGAUGAUCAGCCACACUGGGACUGAGACACGGCCCAGACUCCUACGGGAGGCAGCAGUGGGGAAUUUUGGACAAUGGGCGCAAGCCUGAUCCAGCCAUGCCGCGUGAGUGAAGAAGGCCUGGUUGUAAGUACGUACUUCUAGGUAGGUAAGGAAAGUAAGACGC
rnacentral:rRNA from 1 species